CAGUAGCCACGGUAAUACGGAGGGAGCUAGCGUUGUUCGGAAUUACUGGGCGUAAAGCGCACGUAGGCGGCUUUGUAAGUUAGAGGUGAAAGCCUGGAGCUCAACUCCAGAAUUGCCUUUAAGACUGCAUCGCUUGAAUCCAGGAGAGGUGAGUGGAAUUCCGAGUGUAGAGGUGAAAUUCGUAGAUAUUCGGAAGAACACCAGUGGCGAAGGCGGCUCACUGGACUGGUAUUGACGCUGAGGUGCGAAAGCGUGGGGAGCAAACAGGAUUAGAUACCCCCGUAGUCCCUGUCUCUUAUAA
rnacentral:rRNA from 1 species